AGUACAGACGAGUUUGAUCCUGGCUCAGGACGACGCUGGCGGCGUGCUUAACACAUGCAAGUCGAACGGUCUCCAUCCCGUGGCAACACGGGGGAAGAGAUAGUGGCGAACGGGUGAGUAACACGUGAGAAACCUGUCCUGGUCUCUGGGGAUAACAGUCGGAAACAACUGCUAAGACCGGAUGCCGUCGGAGCGUCGCAUGGCGCGCUGACGAAAGGGUUACUGGAUCAGGAGGGUCUCGCGGCCUAUCAGCUUGUUGGUGGGGUAACGGCCUACCAAGGCAUCGACGGGUAGCUGGUCUGAGAGGAUGAUCAGCCACACUGGGACUGAGACACGGCCCAGACUCCUACGGGAGGCAGCCGUGGGGAAUCUUGCGCAAUGGGCGAAAGCCUGACGCAGCAACGCCGCGUGCGGGAAGAAGGCCUUCGGGUUGUAAACCGCUUUCAGAAGGAACGAAACUGACGGUACUUUCAGAAGAAGGUGCGGCCAACUACGUG
rnacentral:rRNA from 1 species